rnacentral:tRNA from 1 species
GCCGGAGUGGCGAAAAGGUAGACGCCGAGCGCUUAAGACGCUCUGCCCGCAAGGGCGUGGGGGUUCGAGUCCCUCCUCCGGUACCG